AUACGUAGGUGGCACGCGUUGUCCGGAUUUAUUGGGCGUAAAGCGAGCGCAGGCGGUUUCUUAAGUCUGAUGUGAAAGCCCCCGGCUCAACCGGGGCGGGUCAUUGGAAACUGGGAGACUUUAGUGCAGAAGAGGAGAGUGGAAUUCCAUGGGUAGCGGUGCAAUGCGUAGAUAUAUGGAGGAACACCAGUGGCGAAGGCGACUCUCUGGUCUGUAACUGACGCUGAGGCUCGAAAGCGUGGGGAGCAAACAGGAUUAGAUACCCUGGUAGUCCACGCCGUAAACGAUGAGUGCUAAGUGUUGGAGGGUUUCCGCCCUUCAGUGCUGCAGCUAACGCAUUAAGCACUCCGCCUGGGGAGUACGACCGCAAGGUUGAAACUCAAAUGAAUUGACGGGG
rnacentral:rRNA from 1 species